rnacentral:rRNA from 1 species
GACGAAGGGGGCUAGCGUUGUUCGGAAUUACUGGGCGUAAAGCGCGUGUAGGCGGUUGUUCAAGUCAGGUGUGAAAGCCUUGAGCUCAACUCAAGAAAUGCACUUGAUACUGGAUGACUAGAGGACCGGAGAGGAUAGUGGAAUUCCCAGUGUAGUGGUGAAAUACGUAGAGAUUGGGAAGAACACCAGUGGCGAAGGCGGCUAUCUGGACGGUUUCUGACGCUAAGACGCGAAAGCGUGGGAGCAAACAGG